GAUUGUAGUCUGCAACCCGACUACAUGAAGCUGGAAUCGCUAGUAAUCGCGGAUCAGAAUGCCGCGGUGAAUACGUUCCCGGGUCUUGUACACACCGCCCGUCACACCAUGGGAGCCGGGAAUGCCCGAAGUCGGUGACCUAACCUUUAAGGGGGGAGCCGCCGAAGGCAGGUCUGGUAACUGGGGUGAAGUCGUAACAAGGUACC
rnacentral:rRNA from 1 species